UGAGGAAUAUUGGUCAAUGGGCGAGAGCCUGAACCAGCCAAGUCGCGUGAAGGAUGACUGUCUUAUGGAUUGUAAACUUCUUUUAUACGGGAAUAACAAGAGUCACGUGUGGCUCCCUGCAUGUACCGUAUGAAUAAGCAUCGGCUAACUCCGUGCCAGCAGCCGCGGUAAUACGGAGGAUGCGAGCGUUAUCCGGAUUUAUUGGGUUUAAAGGGUGCGUAGGCGGCCUGUUAAGUCAGCGGUGAAAUCUAGGAGCUUAACUCCUAAAUUGCCAUUGAUACUGGCGGGCUUGAGNGUAGAUGAGGUAGGCGGAAUGCGUGGUGUAGCGGUGGAAUGCAUAGAUAUCACGCAGAACUCCGAUUGCGAAGGCAGCUUACUAAGGUACAACUGACGCUGAAGCACGAAAGCGUGGGUAUCAAACAGGAUUAGAUACCCUGGUAGUCCACGCAGUAAACGAUGAUAACUGGGCGUAUGCGAUAUACAGUAUGCUCCUAAGCGAAAGCGUUAAGUUAUCCACCUGGGGAGUACGCCGGCAACGGUG
rnacentral:rRNA from 1 species